rnacentral:rRNA from 1 species
UACAGAGGGUGCGAGCGUUGUCCGGAAUCACUGGGCGUAAAGGGCGCGUAGGUGGUUUGAUAAGGGUGUGGUGAAAGUCCGGAGCUCAACUCCGGAUCUGCCGUGCCGACUGUCAAACUCGAGGGCUGUAGAGGCAGACGGAAUUCCUGGUGUAGCGGUGGAAUGCGCAGAUAUCAGGAGGAACACCAAUAGCGAAGGCAGCUCGCUGGGACGUUACUGACACUGAGGCGCGAAAGCGUGGGGAGCGAACAGG